rnacentral:ncRNA from 2 species
GGACGGGACUCUGGAGAGACCCUGCAAAAGGGCGCCGAAGGGGCAAUGCGGAGAGCUUUACGCUGUCCGCUAAAUCUCUCAGGCAAAAGGACAGAGACGCACGG